ACCAGGUUAACACAGACGUUGAUCAGUGACCGGAGGUGGGGGAGGAAGGAGAUGAUUGGCUGUCGUUGCAGCGUCAGACAGAUUCCCUCAAUCAGACUGCUGGCCGCCUCCCACUCUACCUGUCUCCUACACAUGCACACGCGCACACACACACACACACACACACACACACACAGACAUAUGCACCGGUACGCACAAACGCGUGCACGCACGUACAAAGACACACAUGCAGACACACAGGCACCCACAUGCACACGCACACACACACACACACACAGUACAUAUAGACACACAAACAGACACGCAAAUACGGACCAAAACAACAGAGAACAUUUAUUCAGAAAAAUACAACAUGAGGAGUAUGCAGUAUGAACAGAUACAUAACAUAAAUAGUAGUAUUUCUAAAUUCAGCUUUAGUCCUCAUAGAACUAGCAUUGAAUACACAGACGUUGUCGUUUUAAAGGUGCAGUGUGUGGGAUUCUAGUGCCAUCUAGUGGUGGGAUUGAUCGCUGUCGUUUUAAAGGUGCAGUGUGUGGGAUUCUAGUGCCAUCUAGUGGUGGGAUUGAUGGUUGUCGUUUUAAAGGUGCAGUGUGUGGGAUUCUAGUGCCAUCUAGUGGUGGGAUUGAUGGUUGUCGUUUUAAAGGUGCAGUGUGUGGGAUUUUAGGGCCAUCUAGUGGUGGGAUUGAUCGUUGUCGUUUUAAGGGUACAGUGUGUGGGAUUUUAGUGCCAUCUAGUGGUGGGAUUGAUCGUUGUCGUUUUAAAGGUACAACAUACUUAUUAAUUAUUGCUAUUGAUAUUUAAGUAUAUUAUACUAAUAUUAUGUAAAAUCUCUGUCGAGUCCAUGCUGCUGGAGGCCACCCAAUUCUACAUACUGCACCUUUAAUAUUCACAUUUGAAGCAGUAUUAACAUAUGAGCUCAUAACUAGUCGUCAUAAAAUAUGAAUAAAUAUUCAUUAGUACAAAACACACCACACUUUACAUGCAGAGGUUCAUGUCUCACGUUGCAAAUAGCUUGCUGUGAUUUACACAAAAUAUUUAAGCUCAUGAAAACAAGCAGCCACACACACACACACACACACACACACACACACGCACACACAGGGAAGCAAUAAUAAGGCCUUGCAUGGGAGUACAACCAUUCUGCAACAAACACGCUCCCUCUUUCGCUCUCACACACACACACACACACACACACACACACACACACACACACACACACACACACACACACACACACACACACACACACACACACAUACACACACACACACACACACACACACACACACACACACACACACAAAGGUGGUGUCGACAGUGCACGUACCGAAGCACCACAGAAAAUCACUUACGUCACAGGCACCACCUAC
ensembl:lncRNA